rnacentral:rRNA from 1 species
UACGUAGGGCGCAAGCGCUGUCCGGAAUUAUUGGGCGUAAAGAGCUCGUAGGCGGUCUGUCGCGUCGGAUGUGAAAUCCCGAGGCUCAACCUCGGGUCUGCAGUCGAUACGGGCAAACUAGAGUAUUGCAGGGGAGACUGGAAUUCCUGGUGUAGCGGUGAAAUGCGCAGAUAUCAGGAGGAACACCGGUGGCGAAGGCGGGUCUCUGGGCAAUAACUGACGCUGAGGAGCGAAAGCGUGGGGAGCGAACAGG